AUGAACGCUGGCGGCGUGCUUAACCCAUGCAAGUCGAACGAAGCACUUUAUUUGAUUUCCUUCGGGACUGAUUAUUUUGUGACUGAGUGGCGGACGGGUGAGUAACGCGUGGGUAACCUGCCUUGUACAGGGGGAUAACAGUUGGAAACGGCUGCUAAUACCGCAUAAGCGCACAGCAUCGCAUGAUGCAGUGUGAAAAACUCCGGUGGUAUAAGAUGGACCCGCGUUGGAUUAGCUAGUUGGUGAGGUAACGGCCCACCAAGGCGACGAUCCAUAGCCGACCUGAGAGGGUGACCGGCCACAUUGGGACUGAGACACGGCCCAAACUCCUACGGGAGGCAGCAGUGGGGAAUAUUGCACAAUGGGCGAAAGCCUGAUGCAGCGACGCCGCGUGAGCGAAGAAGUAUUUCGGUAUGUAAAGCUCUAUCAGCAGGGAAGAUAAUGACGGUACCCGACUAAGAAGCACCGGCUAAAUACGUG
rnacentral:rRNA from 1 species